rnacentral:lncRNA from 1 species
GGCUAGGUGUGGAAACAGGAAGAGAACUAGAACUGGAAGUAAAGCAUUGAAGAUGUGACUGAAUUGCUGCAAUCUCAUGAUCAAAUUUGAAUGGAUGAGGAGUUGCUUUUUAGGGAUGAGCAAAGAAAGUGGUUUCUCGAGAUGGAAUCUACUGGUUGCUCCUUGAGGGCAGGACAGUUCUUAUGGCUUUAUCCGUUGCGUAAGCACAGAGAGGUCUGCGAGGUCAAAACUAUUGUCAUGAUAGCAAGAUGCCUGUCUUUUUCAUUUAUUCUCACGGUGUGCAGAGGCUACAUGAUGUGUGAUGACAUCCUCAUUGAUGUUAAUGAAUGGUGCUAUACUUGAAUUUUCUAAGGUGUCAUUAGAUGAGGUCUUGCUGUGUUGCCCAGGCUAUUCACAGCUGCCAUCAUAGUGAACUACAGCCUGAAACUCCUGGGUUCAAGAGAUCCUUCUGCCUCAGCCUCCUGAGUAGCUGGAACUAUAGGCAUGCGCCACCAAGCCUGGGCUUUUAAAAAAAUUUUAAAAAGAAUUUUGAGACAGGAUCUUGCCAUGUUGCUCAGGCUAGUCUUCAACUCCUAGCCCUGAGUGAUCUUGCUUUGGGCCUCUCAAAAUGUUGAGUUAAUAGGCGUGAGCCACCAUACCCAGCCAAAAAUUUUUUUAGAGAUGGGAA